CAGUCGCCGCGGGAACACAGAGGGUGCGAGCGUUAAUCGGAUUUACUGGGCGUAAAGCGUGCGCAGGCGGUUCUAUAAGACAGAUGUGAAAUCCCCGGGCUCAACCUGGGAACUGCAUUUGUGACUGUAGAGCUGGAGUGCGGCAGAGGGGGAUGGAAUUCCGCGUGUAGCAGUGAAAUGCGUAGAUAUGCGGAGGAACACCGAUGGCGAAGGCAAUCCCCUGGGCCUGCACUGACGCUCAUGCACGAAAGCGUGGGAGCAAACAGGAUUAGAUACCCCCGUAGUCCCUGUCUCUUAUACA
rnacentral:rRNA from 1 species